rnacentral:sRNA from 1 species
GCAGAUAAACGGGAUGGAAAAUUGGGGUGAGAACUCUGGAAUGGGCUCUCAGGUUCUCAUGGUCCAGGUCCCUGAGCCACUUCUCACCCGGUUCCUGCAACAGCCCUCCCAGGGAUGUCCUGCUUGGCACCCUCCUCAAACGUGUUCAGUGUUUAAGAUCUGUCACUGCCACCCACUGUGUGGAGUGAGGCUGUGUGCUCUGCGGAAAUCCGGAUUCAUCACAUCUGUUCCAGUUGUGCCUCAGUGAUGGAGAGACAACUCUGAACUCACCGCCUCUUCAGCCUGGCGCUUGUAGGCCUUCACCUUCAACUGCAGCUUGUCCACCAGGUCCUGCAGCCGCACCAAGUUCUUCUUGUC